AACGUAGGAGACAAGCGUUAUCCGGAGUUACUGGGCGUAAAGGGCGUGCAGGCGGAUGGUUAAGAUGGGUGUGAAAGCGACCGGCUCAACCGGUCGAGGCCACCCAUGACUGGCCGUCUGGAGGGCGGACGAGGGGUGUGGAAUUCCGGGUGUAGUGGUGAAAUGCGUAGAGAUCCGGAGGAACACCAGCGGCGAAGGCGGCACCCUGGGCCGCACCUGACGCUGAGACGCGACAGCACGGGGAGCGAAC
rnacentral:rRNA from 1 species